CCUACGGGCGGCAGCAGUGAGGAAUAUUGGUCAAUGGGCGGAAGCCUGAACCAGCCAAGUAGCGUGCAGGAUGACGGCCCUACGGGUUGUAAACUGCUUUUAUACGGGAAUAACGCGCCUUACGUGUAGGGCUUUGCAUGUACCGUAUGAAUAAGGACCGGCUAAUUCCGUGCCAGCAGCAGCGGUAAUACGGAAGGUCCGGGCGUUAUCCGGAUUUAUUGGGUUUAAAGGGAGCGUAGGCCGCAUGUCAAGCGUGCUGUGAAAUGUCCGGGCUCAACCCGGGCCUUGCAGCGCGAACUGGCGUGCUUGAGUCCGCGGAAAGCAGGCGGAAUUCGUCGUGUAGCGGUGAAAUGCUUAGAUAUGACGAAGAACCCCGAUUGCGAAGGCAGCUUGCUGCAGCGGAACUGACGCUGAGGCACGAAAGCGUGGGGAUCGAACAGGAUUAGAUACCCUUGUAGUC
rnacentral:rRNA from 1 species